UACCGCCUGCGCCAGUUCCUGGCCGAGGCAGCGGCGCGCACCGCCGCCGAACGGGAUGUAAUGGAAGCGCGCGGAGGUGCCCGGCUCAUCUUCCCGCGCCGAGCCAAAGCGCUCCGGGUCAAAGCCUUCAGGAGGGCUACUGUAUACCGUGGCCGUCUCGUGCGUGUCCCGGAUGCUAUACAUCACGCUCCAGCCUUUGGGGAUCUGGUAGCCCUGCGAGGAAGCAAGGGGAUCGGCCUGACUACGAGACACCUGGAGACAGAUCCUGAAUCGACCCAUUACCGGGAAUCACCAAACGGGCAUGUGAAAGCCAGCAGGAAUACACGAUCAACUCAGAAGGCAGCAUUCUAACGCCAGCCUCUUCACUGGAUUAGAAACCUAGGCAUGGACAGCUAGCAGUCCCAGCCACCCGGAUUGUUUGGGGUUCUUGCUCCCCCGGUGUUGUUGCCGCCAGCCCUUUCUGGGUAUCAUGAUAGUGACCGAAGUGAACAGACCGAAGCACUUGCAGCCACAGGGCCAGCCCCACACCACUGCCUGCCUCGCACCUUUAUCAUCUUGUUUACUGUACUGGGCUCAGUGUGUCAGUAAAGCUUCUCCUGGUCUGCUGUGUCCAAGAAGGGAAACAGUCCACCCUUCCUCGGAGAAGAGCACCCUCACUGCCUGCCUCUGGUCCAGCAUCUUCCUCCUGGUACUGGUGUUUGUUUUAUUCACUAAUUCCUAGGAUUUGGGGGUGAAUGUGCAUCUUCCCCUCCUGCACCUGGGUGGCAGGGUCAUUUGCUCAUCGCAUCUGCCAUCCCAGCGCAGCAUCUGAAACCUAAUGAUAUUUGUGGAAGGAAUGCUAAAUCCUCAUCAGAAGCUAAUUGCCAGCCCUGACUUGGACAAGGAGGGAAGCUGGGAUGGAGAACUCAGAGCCCAAUAUUCCCAGCCUGGCCUCCUGGGAUACUCAGGCCAUUAUGGAAGAUCUCUAACCAGUGAUUGAAAUCCGGGGAAUCUACACAAGGAGAAGUACCAGCACUGGAGGCUGAAGUGGGAGGCCUACAAUUGUGAGCCCAGUGUAGGCAAUUAUGUAUAAAGACUCUGUCUUGACAGAAAAAAGAAAGAAAGAAAGAAAGAAAGAAAGAGAGAGAGAGAGAGAG